rnacentral:rRNA from 1 species
CCUGCCCAAGAGACUGGGAUAACACCUGGAAACAGAUGCUAAUACCGGAUAACAACACUAGACGCAUGUCUAGAGUUUAAAAGAUGGUUCUGCUAUCACUCUUGGAUGGACCUGCGGUGCAUUAGCUAGUUGGUAAGGCAACGGCUUACCAAGGCAAUGAUGCAUAGCCGAGUUGAGAGACUGAUCGGCCACAUUGGGACUGAGACACGGUCCAAACUCCUACGGGAGGCAGCAGCG